rnacentral:rRNA from 1 species
GAUCGGCUUGGCGCAUGUCAGGCUGUUUAAAGGAGCAAUCCGCUUAAAGAUGAGCUUGCGGCCCAUUAGUUAGUUGGCGGGGUAACGGCCCACCAAGACCGCGAUGGGUAGCCGGCCUGAGAGGGUGGACGGCCACAUGGAACUGAAAUACGCCCAGAUCUACGGAAGGCAGCAGUAAGGAAUUUGCGCAUGGACGAAGUCUGACGCAGCACGCGCGUGAGGGAUGACGGCUUCGGUGUAACCUCUGUGAAUGGGAAAAAAGGUAGCAAUAUUUGAUGGUACCAUUCGAGUAAGCACCGGCUAACUACGUGCCAGCAGCCGCGGUAAUACGUAGGGUGCAAGCGUGUUCGGAAUCACUGGGCGUAAAGAGAGCGUAGGCGGGAUCGUAAGUUAGGAGUUUAAUCCACGGGCUCAACCUGUGGUCGGCUUUUAAUACUGCGGUUCUUGAGUAUGGGAGAGGGCGAUGGAAUUCCAGGUGUAGCGGUGGAAUGCGUAGAUAUCUGGAAGAACACCAGUAGCGAAGGCGGUCGCCUGGCCCAAUACUGACGCUGAGGCUCGAAAGCUAGGGGAGCAAACAGGAUUAGAUAUCCUGGUAGUCCUAGCCGUAAACGAUGAACACUAGUUGCUGGAGGAGUCAAUCUUUUCGGUGACGAAGCUAACGCAUUAAGUGUUCCGCCUGGGAAGUACGCUCGCAAGAGUGAAACUCAAAGGAAUUGACGGGGGCCCGCACAAGCGGUGGAGCAUGUGCUUUAAUUCGAUGCAACGCGAAGAACCUUACCUAGGCUUGACAUGGGGGUGAAAUUCUGUAGAAAUAUGGAGCCUUCCGCAAGGAACACCCUACACAGGUGCUGCAUGGUUGUCGUCAGCUCGUGUCGUGAGAUGUUAGGUUAAGUCCUGCAACGAGCGCAACCCUCGUCCUUAGUUGCUAACAGGUUACGCUGAGAACUCUAAGGAGACUGCCUGGUUUAACCAGGAGGAAGGGGGGGAUGACGUCAAAUCCUCAUGGCCCUUACGCCUAGGCUAGACACGUGCUACAUGGCUGGUACACGAGCUGCAAGUCAGUGAUGACAGCUAAUCUUCAAAACCAGUCUCAGUACGGAUGGAAGUCGGCAUUCGACUUCUGAACCUGCAAUCGCUAGUAAUCGCGAUAAGCAUGCCGAGGUGAAUACGUUCACGGGCCGUGUACAAACCGCCCGUCAAGCCAUGAAAGAUGGCAGUACCCGAAGUCGCUUCUCUAACCGCAAGGAAGAGUGCGCCGAAGGUAAGGCUGUUGAUUGGGGCUAAGUCGUAACAAGGUAACC